rnacentral:rRNA from 1 species
CGGCCUACGGGAGGCAGCAGUGGGGAAUAUUGCACAAUGGGGGAAACCCUGAUGCAGCGACGCCGCGUGAGCGAAGAAGUAUUUCGGUAUGUAAAGCUCUAUCAGCAGGGAAGAAAAUGACGGUACCUGACUAAGAAGCUCCGGCUAAAUACGUGCCAGCAGCCGCGGUAAUACGUAUGGAGCAAGCGUUAUCCGGAUUUAUUGGGUUUAAAGGGUGCGUAGGCGGAAUGCCAAGUCAGCGGUAAAAUCGCGGGGCUCAACCUCGCUCCGCCGUUGAAACUGGCGUUCUUGAGUGGGCGAGAAGU